UGCGCCUGCGUGGAGGGAUUCCAGUCACGAGGGGGUCGCUUCUUCACCGGCCCACUGGAGACCUGCAACGAUAUUUAUGAGUGUCAAGAUCAGAAAACCUGCGGAGACUUCACCAGGUGCUACAACCUGGCUGGGGGUUACUACUGCACCUGCAUUGACGGCUACGAGUCCAGCUCUGGGAAAGCCAGAUUCCUGAACGCCAGUGAGGGCAGCUGCCGGGAUAUUGACGAGUGUUCAGGGGCCAAUCCCGUACCCUGCGGACCUAACGCCAACUGCAUCAACCAGCAUCAGUAUUACUACUGCACCUGCGCCGAUGGCUACAAGUCCAGUUCU